CUGGCUCAGAACGAACGCUGGCGGCGUGCUUAACACAUGCAAGUCGAACGCGAACG
rnacentral:rRNA from 1 species